rnacentral:rRNA from 1 species
GACAGAGGAUGCAAGCGUUAUCCGGAAUGAUUGGGCGUAAAGCGUCUGUAGGUGGCUUUCAAGUCCGCCGUCAAAUCCCAGGGCUCAACCCUGGACAGGCGGUGGAAACUACCAAGCUGGAGUACGGUAGGGGCAGAGGGAAUUUCCGGUGGAGCGGUGAAAUGCAUCGAGAUCGGAAAGAACACCAACGGCGAAGCACUCUGCUGGGCCGACACUGACACCUGAGGAGACCGAAAGCUAGGGGAGCAAAUGGGAUUAGGAUACCC